rnacentral:rRNA from 1 species
GUGGGGAAUAUUGCGCAAUGGGGGAAACCCUGACGCAGCAACGCCGCGUGAGUGAUGAAGGCUUUCGAGUCGUAAAACUCUGUCUUUGGGGACGAAUAAUGACGGUACCCAAGGAGGAAGCCCCGGCUAACUACGUGCCAGCAGCCGCGGUAAUACGUAGGGGGCAAGCGUUGUCCGGAAUCACUGGGCGUAAAGGGCGCGUAGGCGGUUUGUUAAGUCAGGUGUGAAAGUUUUCAGCUUAACUGGAAAAGUGCACUUGAAACUAACUUACUUGAGUACUGGAGAGGUAAGCGGAAUUCCUAGUGUAGCGGUGAAAUGCGUAGAUAUUAGGAAGAACACCGGUGGCGAAGGCGGCUUACUGGACAGAGACUGACGCUGAGGCGCGAAAGCGUGGGGAGCGAACAGGAUUAGAUACCCCAGUAGUCC